rnacentral:rRNA from 1 species
GCUGGCGGCGUGCUUAACACAUGCAAGUCGAACGAGGUCCAACCUUCGGGUGAAGACCGAGUGGCGAACGGGUGAGUAACACGUGGGGAACCUGCCCUUCUCUCUGGGAUAACUCCGGGAAACCGGAGCUAAUACCGGAUACUCCUUGCGGACCGCAUGGUCUGCUCGGGAAAGCUCCGGCGGAGAAGGAUGGCCCCGCGGCCCAUUAGCUUGUUGGUGGGGUAACGGCCCACCAAGGCGACGAUGGGUAGCCGAGCUGAGAGGCUGAUCGGCCACACUGGGACUGAGACACGGCCCAGACUCCUACGGGAGGCAGCAGUGGGGAAUCUUGCGCAAUGGGCGAAAGCCUGACGCAGCAACGCCGCGUGCGGGAUGAAGGCUCUCGGGUCGUAAACCGCUUUCAGCAGGGAUGAAAAUGACAGUACCUGCAGAAGAAGCCCCGGCUAAAUACGUGCCAGCAGCCGCGGUAAUACGUAUGGGGCAAGCGUUAUCCGGAUUCAUUGGGCGUAAAGCGCGCGUAGGCGGCUUGUUAAGUCAGGCGUGAAAUCCGGGGGCUCAACCCGCGGCUUGCGUCUGAAACUGGCAGGCUUGAGUCUGGUAGAGGAAAGUGGAAUUCCUGGUGUAGCGGUGAAAUGCGCAGAUAUCAGGAGGAACACCAGUGGCGAAGGCGGCUUUCUGGGCCACGACUGACGCUGAGGCGCGAAAGCUAGGGGAGCGAACAGGAUUAGAUACCCUGGUAGUCCUAGCCGUAAACGAUGGGCACUAGGUGUGGGGGGUCAUCGACUCCCUCCGUGCCGAAGCUAACGCAUUAAGUGCCCCGCCUGGGGAGUACGGCCGCAANG